rfam:Dipodomys ordii contig_74716, whole genome shotgun sequence.
UGGCUCAAUGGUAGAGUGCUUGCCUUGCAUGCAUGAGGCCCUGGGUUCAAUUCCUCAG